rnacentral:tRNA from 1 species
GCCCUGAUGGCGGAAUUGGUAGACGCGACGGUCUCAAACACCGUUAGAGCAAUCUAUCCCGGUUCGAGUCCGGGUCAGGGCA